UACGUAGGGGGCAAGCGUUGUCCGGAAUUAUUGGGCGUAAAGAGCUCGUAGGCGGUUUGUCGCGUCUGCUGUGAAAACUCGGGGCUUAACCCCGGGCCUGCAGUGGGUACGGGCAGACUAGAGUGCGGUGGGGGAGACUGGAAUUCCUGGUGUAGCGGUGAAAUGCGCAGAUAUCAGGAGGAACACCGGUGGCGAAGGCGGGUCUCUGGGCCGUAACUGACGCUGAGGAGCGAAAGCGUGGGGAGCGAACAGG
rnacentral:rRNA from 1 species